rnacentral:lncRNA from 1 species
ACUCAUAGUUUCCUUUCUAGUAGAGGAAAAGAUGUUAUUAACAAGUAAGUAAAUAUACAUGCAGACAUAUAAAUGCAUAUAUAUGUAUAUAAAAAUAUAUAUACAUACAAAUGUCACGUGGUAAUAUGUGCUAUGAAUGCAAUUUAGGAGAGGAAAUGAGAUUGAUUAGGAAUACCUGUAAGGUGAGAAGGUAAGGAAGAUUGCUGGAAUUUUAAAAGAGUAGUUAGGGGAAACCUAGCUGAGAAGAUGACACUGGAAAUAAGACAUGUAAGAAGCAAGGAGGGAAGCCACAUGGAUACCUUGGAAAUAGCCUACCUGGCAAAGGGAAUUAACAAAUAUGAAGACCUCGUGACAAGAAUGGGUCUGGAAUUUUCAGGGUCCAGAAAGAACCCAUUGUAUCUGAAGUGCAGUGAGUAACAGAAUAGCAAAAAAUAUGGUUAAAAAUGAGGCAAGAUUGUGUAGUGCCAUGUUAAAGACUUUGACUUAUACUCAGUGUGAGAAAGGAAAUCUUUGGAGGGUCUGAUUAGAAGAAGACAUAAUCUGAUGUAUAUUAUGAAAGGACAGCCUUGGCUACUGUGUUAAGAAUAGACUAUAGAAGGUUAAGGGGAAAAGAGGGAGACCAGCUUGGGGAAGCUAAUUCUGUAAUCCAAGUGAAAAAAGAUAGUGGAAAUAGGAUGUUAGCAGUGGAAGUUUUAGAAAACAAAAAGAGGUUGAGUUCUGCAUAUAAUUUGAAAAAGAGGCAACAGGAUUUGUAGACAAAUCAGGAUUUACGUAUGUAAAGAAGAGAAUAAUUGAUAAUGACUUUAGGUUUUUGACACGGAUAACUAUAAAAACGCAGUUGCCAUCUACUGAGAUGGGGAAGACUAAAUUUUGUUUAUGGACAUACACAAUUUAAGCUGCUUCUAACACACCCAAGUGAAGAUAUCAAGUAUACAACUGAAUAUAUGGACUUAGAGUCAAAGGUACAUUUAUAAACUGGAGAUACAGAUGGUAUUUAAAAAUAAUGAGCCUAGAUGAGAUUAUUACAGAAGUGAUUGUGGAUAUAUACAAGAGAGGAAGGUCAAAGUCAGACCUGGGGCUCACCUACAACAGUUGUACUUUCACCCUCCCUAUAAUCAUUACAUGGUUACUGCCCAUCUGCCCUAUUGAACAAAGUAGAGAAUAAGUGGAAACCCAAGGAUAAGUUCUGCAAGUGAAUUAUUUCAGUUCCUCCUUUUCCUGGUAACCCAUAUUCCUUUAACUAUUAGUUACCCAAAUCUUUACCCUUUGUCCACAGGUGGUAAACUAUUCAUCCCCCUCAAUUUAUCCCCUCUCCACUGCAUGUAAAAGCGUGUAGUUGUUUAUUUAUGUUUAUCCAUACACAACAUUCUGAUGCAAUAUUUACACUGUACAUGACAAUAUUUUUCUCCUAACGCAUAUAUAAAUACAUGAGUUAAAAGUUUGAUGCUGACCGUAAUUUGUGUAUUUAAAAAAUUAAGCACAAUUCUACUAACAUUUGUAUAACACAAUCUACCUGUCCUUAUAUUCUUUGUUGGUAAUUCCAUUAAAGGAGAUGAGAUUAUUAUUGCUAUUUAACAUCUCCGGGCACUGAAAUGUUUGAACAGAAAAGUGAGUAGAUGUUAAAAACUACAAAUUGAGAAUUGAGAUUAAUUUGGGUGUACUCCCAAUCACAAGAAAGGGAUAAUAUGAUUUUCAGUUUUGCCUAAACUUUCCUUUACAAGGGAAGAAGUUGGUUCAUGACUAUUGAAAUAUUCGAAUGCAGUGUUUUCACUAAUUACUGUUCUUGUUCUUUACAGAGUUCUAGACUUUACAGAGUUUAUUGUAAACAUUUUCACUAAUAGCCAAAAUGCAUUCCAGGGGGAAUGGUUAGUAUAUAAUUAUUUAUUUAUAUUUUAUAUGGAAAGAGAAAGUAUUUUGGAUCAGAAUUUUCUUAGACCUAAGUUUCAUUUUAAAACGUGCUCUCUGACAGAAUCUCUACAUAGCACAAUAUCUCAGUUGAAUCCUUACCAUUCGAGUUCUGAGGACUAAAGAGUGACUAGCUCCAAAUCCCAAAGAACUGAAUAGUAAUUGUUGCAGCCCAUUAAAUUCCCAAGGACCUCAAUAUAUCCGGAACAAGAAAAUAAGCAAUGACUACAACAAAAACAGAAAUGGUUGAUUUCACAACUUGGUAGAAAAUGUUAAGAAUGUUACAAAAAUAUCAAGAAUAAAAAAAUUUGAGUUGUAAAAGGAUUUAGGAAUAAAACUACAAUCCACACUUUCUUUAGGAGCUUGGGCCACAUUGUCACCAUGGAUGGCUACAGAACUUCUGAGGCUUAUCAACAGAUCCCAUAACUAACAAAUACAUAAUUAUCCACAGCAAUAUAUCACUUGUAUAAGUAAGGGUUAAUUUACAAGCUGAACUAUUAAAUGUAAUUCUCACAUUGACAUUAUAACAAAAUUGUGAACCUGAGAAGAUAUAAUAUUUCCCAGUUUAUGAAGUCUGUCAUAGACCAAGUUCUUAAAUAGCUAAUUUAAAGGAAGCUGGCACACAAUUUAAAGAUGUAAUUUGAGUCAUAGUUGAUGAUAUACUUUUACUUGUUUAGCCUUUUAUGCAGCUUGUUUGCAUUCCUUGAACAGAUUUGCUGUUUCUAUUCUAACUGCAUUGUGUAUGGCAUGAGAAAUGCUGAUUAAUUCUUGUGGGUAAUCAUCACACACGCUGCCAAUGUUGUACAUUUAUAUCUUUCAUUUCAUAAUCUAUGUAUACAUUCCUUAUGUUAUUAGCGGAAGUGGCAUAUAAUAGGUAAAUAAACCUG